UACGUAGGGUGCGAGCGUUGUCCGGAAUUAUUGGGCGUAAAGGGCUCGUAGGCGGUUUGUCGCGUCGGGAGUGAAAACCAUGGGCUUAACUCAUGGCUUGCUUCCGAUACGGGCAGACUAGAGGUAUGCAGGGGAGAACGGAAUUCCUGGUGUAGCGGUGAAAUGCGCAGAUAUCAGGAGGAACACCGGUGGCGAAGGCGGGUAGCUGGGCCAACACUGACGCUGAUGCGCGAAAGCCAGGGUAGCAAACGGG
rnacentral:rRNA from 1 species